rnacentral:rRNA from 1 species
AGUGAACGCUGGCGGUAGGCCUAACACAUGCAAGUCGAACGGCAGCACAGUAAGAGCUUGCUCUUACGGGUGGCGCGUGGCGGACGGGUGAGGAAUACAUCGGAAUCUACUUUUUCGUGGGGGAUAACGUAGGGAAACUUACGCUAAUACCGCAUACGACCUGCGGGUGAAAGCAGGGGAUCUUCGGACCUUGCGCGAUUGAAUGAGCCGAUGUCGGAUUAGCUAGUUGGCGGGGUAAAGGCCCACCAAGGCGACGAUCCGUAGCUGGUCUGAGAGGAUGAUCAGCCACACUGGAACUGAGACACGGUCCAGACUCCUACGGGAGGCAGCAGUGGGGAAUAUUGGACAAUGGGCGCAAGCCUGAUCCAGCCAUACCGCGUGGGUGAAGAAGGCCUUCGGGUUGUAAAGCCCUUUUGUUGGGAAAGAAAAGCAGCAGGUUAAUACCCCGCUGUUCUGACGGUACCCAAAGAAUAAGCACCGGCUAACUUCGUG